rnacentral:tRNA from 1 species
GAUCAAGUGGCUCAGAUGGUAAAGCAUCUGCCUGCAAUGCAGGAGACCGGGGUUUGAUCC